GUGGUAGAUAUAGGUCUGUUUAUUUUUAAAUGUGUUUUUCUUUGUACUUUUUCGUUCUGAAAACUCUUGCAUUUUCAUUUAAUAUCACUCAUUAUAAAGUUUAUCUCUGAAGUAGGAUGUAUUUUCUGAUCAUAUUUUCAUUUCUUAGAAAUAUAUUGUAUUUUAAUACCUCAAUUUUAUCAGUAUUUUUAUAUAUACUUGUUUGCUUGGGGGAAGAUAUGAGUGAGAGAAGCUUUGCACUUCUUUCUCUAUGGGUAAAAAAAUAAAAAGUUAAUUUUAGCAUUAGAAUUUAUUUUAGCUUACUAUAUUCAGGGGAAUGCAAAUAGCAAAAUUUCUAUUCUUCUCAACACUCUUUCCAAGAUGAAAUGUGCUCAGAUUGUUCAAACCUAACUUAAUAGCUAUUAGAAUCUGUCUUGUCGAAAGUCUCAGAUUCUUUAUUUUACUCUUUGUAGCAGCAGGACUCUUUGGUCCAACUGCCCGAAAAACUAUUGUCAAGAAAAUGCCCAGUGACCUCCAAACUCCUGACCUUUCAAUUACCUCAGUGGAUGGACCGAGAGAAAGGUGACUUUUAAUAAAACACAAAUAAUAUCACUAAACCAUCAAAAAUUGAAUCCCAAGACGGUUUCUCACUAAAUUUUAUUUUCCCUGCCUCCCUCAAAGGAACUGUGUAUUGAAGUUCUCCAUCUGCUGAUGAUCUCUUAGGCUUAUCUCGGUGUAGUACAUCCAUUUAGCAAUGCAGAUAAUCAGCAUUUGCAGAAUGGCACUCAGUUUUGCAGCUGAAAAGAUUAGAGUAUACAAUCCACCAUUCAUUCUCAAGGGAAGGAGUCAUCGCAUUGAAGCAGUCUAAUUAUGGCCAUCAGUCCAAAUGGCAUGGUGGCCAAGGAUCAACCCCACCAGCAUAGGAAGUUCCAGGCUCCAAGAAAGCCCAGAGGUUUUGGAAUUAGUGAGCUAAGUGAGUUUGCCUCAUUCCCACACAUCUUGCUCCUCACUUCCUUUACUGUGCCCUGUGGUUGGUGACAUGACUGCAUAUCUGCCACUUCUCACCACUUUGUAUAUUCACCCUGCCUUGUCUUGAUUUCUCAUCUUGAUAAUUCUCCCAUCUUUUGCUCAAGACACUUUUAAACAACUCUCAGAGUAACAUCCUUCUUUGGCCCUAGUGAGCAUUUGAAAUAUGUUCUAUAUUCUAAAGAUCCAGAACAUGUGGGCAUUUUCACGAUCCAGCCUGUCACCAUGUGUUGUUUAGCCACACGUGUUCAAAGCAGAUUUCGAGUUGAGUUAUUUCUAGCUGGGCACAAACAGGGUUCCAUUUUCAUAGGCCUCACUCUUCCCUACUGCAUUACAUGGUUUCUUCUUCACUUCUACUACACUACUCCUUCUUUAAAUUACAGAAGCUUAAACAUAAACAAAAGUAGAACAAAGUGGCAUAAUGAAACACCACAAAUCCAUUACUUUGCUUCAAAAUUUCUUAGUACAAAGCUAUUAUUUUUUAUACCUACAUGCCUGUGCUGUAAAAUAGAUGGACUACUUUGAGCCAAAUCAAAGACAUCUUAUAACUUCAUUGGUAAAUAGCUUGUAUUUAUAAGUAGGUAAGAGACGUUCACUUUAAAAAGCACAAAUCAAAUAUCAAUUAAACAUUCAAAUCUCAAGAAUUCUCACAAUCCCCACCCCACCCACCCUCCUCUAUCUUCUCCAUCCCCAUUACACUAUCACUCUUCAUUUGACUGGUUCAAAUCAGAAGUCAAAUGAAGUUGACACGUUGUGUUUGGUUGAUAUGUCAACAAAGUCACUUAUAAUUUAUCAUUUCUUAUCUUGUAAUUUCUUUUUGAAAAUGUUGAGUUUAUCACAUUUGCCCUUUUCCCAGCAAAAGGCAUCCCAGUGUCUCCUCACUAUGGAGUGGAAGGAGCAAGAGGUUUAUAAUAGCAUCUUGUUAUAUUGAAGUCACAAGCUACCAGCAUCUUCUUAUAUUGAAGUCACAGGCAGGAUUUAAAUUCAUCUUAUAUGUAAGUAUGGUAUCCCAGUGUGUCAGUGAAGAGACAGAUGUUACUGAGAUCACCUUGCCCAGGGACGCAUCUCCUAAUAUCUGCAAGGAUGUCCUGUAUACCAAAAGUAUAGCUUCAUUCCUUCUAAUCCCAAAGACUCUCAAAUAAAGCAAAUCUGCGGGAGGACAAAGAUGAUGGUAAGCACAGAGGAGAAUGGGUAUCAAUCACUUACAUCAUUAGGAAGGAGUGAAAUCUUACAAUGAUCUUUCCCUCUGCUUUCUUCCUUUCAGGUGAUCUAACUUCCUGUGCCAGCAUCAUCAUUUUACAAUAAGAUUUGACUUUGGUUAAAGUUUGAAAUUCUCCUCUGAGGAAACACAUUUCAGGAUGUUAUCUUUCAUGCAUACCUUAUCAUGAAGAAAGGAUCCAACUAUUCAUAAUCUAGAUUUCCACUGAUUUCUUUAACCACAGUUUGAUAACAACCACCAGUGAGGUAGUCAGGUCCAGGUCUUAUGGAACUUUAUUCUGUUCAUUGGGAAUGUGGGUUUUAUUGAUGAGGGAGUGAUAAACUAUUGGAGAAUUCUCAAUUGUGGCGUCAUGUCUUCUGAGUUAUACUUUUACAGGAAUGAUUCUGGUUGCUCUGAAGGAACAGAUAGAUGUGGGGAGACAAGAAUAAAAGCAAGGAGGCUUGUAACUGGCUGUUUUCAUACUAGAGGAACUUCAGGACUGAAUCCUGCAGUAGAAGCAAGAACAGGCUAUUGGGAGACUCUGGUCCUCAACUGCACAAAGAAGGGCCCAUAUCCUCAACUCUGCCACAGACCUCUUUGAUUCCAGUUGGAAGCCUGGAGAUUUCACUGCUGCUGAGGAGGGUUCCAGGGACUGGGAAACCUGAGCUGUGAGCUGAGCUUGGGUGAUCUGUUUCCAUCUGUGGUCUGGUGCUGAUGGUUUCCAAGGCAGGAAUCAAGUCAGUCCUUGAAGAGCUACAACAGAGCAAAAGUGCAGGUAAACAAAGCAACACGAAGGCUAAAUAAAAGUCAUUUCCCCAAGCAAAAUAAGGGUAGGGACCUUCAGAUGGACAGAUUAGCCUGGAUUAAGCAGAUGGAGAAGCCGAGGAUCAAGGAUCGGGCCAGGAGCCAAGGAAUACUGCCACCUCUAGAAGUUGGGAACGGCCCUCAGCUUACAGCCACUAAGAAAAGGGGGAUUUUGGCCCUCUAGCUGCAAGGAAUCUAAUUCCACUUGAAUUAACAAGGAACAUCCAGGCAGGAAUGUAGCCCUGACAACACCCUAAUUUAGGCCAGUCAGGCCCGGACAGACUUCUGACCCACGGAAUUCUAAAAUAAUUUGUGUUUCUUAAACCAUCAAAUUUGUUGUAAUUUGUUAUGGUAGCAACAGGAAUCAAAUAUACCUCUCUACUUUUACAAGAUAUUGUUGUCUGCAGCCUGUUUGAAGUCGGUGACUAAACACAGCUGGUUACUAUGGCAGGCCCAUUCUGAAGAGUUGCAGGACACCCUCGGGAGUACUUUGGUUUGAAGCCUCCUCAUCACCUCGGCUGCCGUUUCUGGGAUCUGGGUUGCAGUCUGAGGCUCAUUUUUCCAAUUCCCAAUACUUCCUACUGAUGAUAUUCUUGAGAGUCAGGCUUUAUCAAGAGAGAAAAAGGACUUUAAAAUUUUCAAACUCCUUUUUAAAUAUCAGAGAUUUUUUUGGCCUACUUUGAUUACAGGUCCUUACUUAUAAGUCUCUCCUUCCUAGGGAGAAAAUAGAAAGCUUUAAGAGACAGAUUACACUUUACCUGACAUUCAUUUUUGCAUGCCUUGUUAAACAUGAAAGAAUGUGUUAAGGCCAUUUUUUAUUGUUUAAUUUGUUGUUUUGACUUUGGGUGUGUGUGUUUGUGUCAAUUAUUUUUUAAUCUACUAGAACAUUCAUUAUCCUUUUUAUUUUGGAAAACAAGGGUGAGAAAGGUUACGUGAUCUGGAGGUAAAAAUACACCAUUAUGUAAAGUUGAAGUGUCAUCCCCUGAAUCCACAUUGCACAUCUAUAAAGUAGAAGAACUUGUCUUACUCCAGUGUUUAGUAUUCGUUAGGUUAAUGUUUUUCAAACAAGCUUGAUAGUAAGAAGCAUUUGAGACUUUUGUUUAAAAUACAUCCCCCUCUACCACUGAAAGUUUAAUUUGGUAAGUUUGUUUGGACAUACAGAUUCUGUAUUUCUAAGAAAUAUUUAGAUGGUUUUUAUCAGACUUGGAGGU
ensembl:lncRNA novel transcript